rnacentral:rRNA from 1 species
AUUGAACGCUGGCGGCAUGCCUUACACAUGCAAGUCGAACGGCAGCACGGGUGCUUGCACCUGGUGGCGAGUGGCGAACGGGUGAGUAAUACAUCGGAACAUGUCCUGUAGUGGGGGAUAGCCCGGCGAAAGCCGGAUUAAUACCGCAUACGAUCCCCGGAUGAAAGCGGGGGACCUUCGGGCCUCGCGCUAUAGGGUUGGCCGAUGGCUGAUUAGCUAGUUGGUGGGGUAAAGGCCUACCAAGGCGACGAUCAGUAGCUGGUCUGAGAGGACGACCAGCCACACUGGGACUGAGACACGGCCCAGACUCCUACGGGAGGCAGCAGUGGGGAAUUUUGGACAAUGGGCGAAAGCCUGAUCCAGCAAUGCCGCGUGUGUGAAGAAGGACUUCGGGUUGUAAAGCACUUUUGUCCGGAAAGAAAUCCUUGACUCUAAUACAGUCGGGGGAUGACGGUACCGGAAGAAUAAGCACCGGCUAACUACGUG